rnacentral:lncRNA from 1 species
CAACAACAGCCUUAUUUUCAUAAUGCUGCUGGCCCAAGCAGACCAUACGUUCCUCCACCAAUCCAACAACAACAAUAGCAACAGACCCAGAAACAACAAACAGUUGAGGCUCCUCCGCAACCUUCCCUUGAAGAACUUGUGAGGCAAAUAACUAUGCAAAACAUGCAGUUUCAACAAGAGACCAGAGCCUCCAUUCAGAGCUUAACAAAUCAGAUGGGACAAUUGACUACACAGUUAAAUCAACAACAGUCCCAGAAUUCUGACAGAUUACCUUCUCAAUAUGUCCAGAAUCCCAAAAAUGUGAGUGCCAUUACAUUGAGGUCGGGAAAGCAGUGUCAAGGACCUCAACCAGUAACAUCUUCCUCAUCCGCAAAUGAACCUGCCCAACUUCACCCUACUCAAGAAAAAGAUGAUGACAAAAAUUUAAAGAGUAAGUCACCUAACAAUUUCUAUGCAGGUGAAUCUAAAGAGAAGCAACAUAUCCCUCUUCCAUUCCCUCCAAGAGCAAUUUCCAACAAAAAAAUGGAAGAGACAGAGAAGGAGAUCUUGGAAACAUUUAGAAAAGUAGAAGUAAACAUACCUCUGCUAGAUGUAAUAAAGCAAAUUCCAAGAUAUGCUAAAUUCUUAAAGGAGCUGUGCACUAAUAAGCGGAAGCUUAAAGGAAGUGAAAGAAUUAGUAUGGGCAAAAAUGUCUCCGCAUUGAUUGGUAAAUCUGUUCCCCAAAUCCCUGAAAAAUGUAAAGAUCCAGGUACAUUCAACAUACCUUGUAUUAUAGGGAACAGUAAGUUUGACAAUGUCAUGCUAGAUUUAGGAGCUUCUGUUAGUGUUAUGCCUCUGUCUAUUUUUAUUUCUCUAUCUCUAGGUCCUUUGCAGUCAACUGAUGUGGUAAUUUAUUUAGCUAAUAGAAGUGUUGCCUAUCCUGCUGGUUUCAUAGAGGAUGUCUUAGUUAGAGUAGGUGAACUGAUUUUCCCUGUUGAUUUUUAUAUUUUGAAUAUGGAGGAGGGAUUUUCUAAAGGAUCAGUUCCCAUCAUUCUAGGUAGACCUUUUAUGAAAACUGCUAGAACUAAGAUAGAUGUAUAUGCAGGCACACUAUCUAUGGAGUUUGGUGAUAUAACUGUUCAUUUUAAUAUUCUUGAUGCUAUGAAACACCCAUCUGAAGAUCUUUCUGUGUUUCGUGUUGAAAUAAUUGACCAUAUUGUUGAUGAAUACAUGACUGAUCUUCAUUCUAAUCUGCAUGUUUGUCACUCUUCAUGCAUUGAAUAUGAAUUUGUACUUGAUCAUAUGUCUGAAUUUGAUGCUGAGAGUGAAUAUGAAUUUGAUAUUGAUUACAUGUCUGGUGAUGUUUUACCUCUUGAGAUUGAUUUUAUAAAGUCAGAUAAAACUAACCAUGUUUCAGGAAGUACACAUAAUUCUGACUUUCUUUAUGAGGUACAGGCUGAAAAACCAUCUUUUUCUACCAUUAUCCAGUCGACCACACCAGAAUUGAAGCCUCUACCAUCAAAUUUAAAAUAUGCUUACUUGGAUGAUAGCAAAAGUUUUCCAGUAAUUAUAUCUGCCUCCCUUGCUGAUGAGCAAGAGAAGAAGUUGUUAUCAGUUCUCAAGAAGCAUAAGAAGGCUAUAGGCUGGACCCUGGCGGACAUUCCUGGUAUUAGCCCAUCCAUAUGUAUGCAUUGAAUAAAUUUAGAGGAUGGGGCUAAACCAGUAAGACAACCACAGAGAAGACUUAACCCGGUGAUUCUUGAUGUAGUGAAGAAGAAGGUAACCAAGCUUUUGCAAGCUGGAAUCAUUUAUCCUAUCUUCGACAGCCAAUGGGUGAGUCCCGUCCAGGUAGUCCUGAAGAAAACCGGCCUCAUCGUGAUAAAAAAUGAGAAGGAGGAGUUGAUUCCUACUAGGGUGCAGAACAAUUAGAGAGUCUGCAUCGACUAUAGGAGGCUGAACCAGGUUACCAAAAAGGACCAUUUUCCCCUGCCAUUCAUUGACCAGAUGCUUGAACGCCCGGCAGGUAAAUCUCACUACUGUUUCCUUGUUGGUUUUUCUGGUUAUAUGCAAAUCACUAUUGCUCCUGAGGAUCAGGAAAAGACCACAUUCACCUGCCCCUUCGGCACUUUUGCCUAUAGGAGGAUGCCUUUCGGCCUGUGCAAUGCCCCUGGUACCUUCCAGCGGUACAUGAUUAGUAUUUUUAGUGAUUUUUUAGAAAAUUGCAUAGAGGUGUUUAUGGAUGAUUUCACUGUAUAUGGAUCCUCUUUUGAUAUUUGUUUGGAUAGUCUGGAAAAGGUUUUGAAUAGAUGCAUUGAAACUAACCUUGUUCUAAAUUUUGAAAAAUGUCAUUUUAUGGUUGAGCAAUGUAUAGUUUAAGGCCACAUUAUUUCCAAUAAGGGCAUUGAAGUAGAUCCUGCAAAAAUUUCUAUUAUUUAACAAUUGCCUUACCCCUCUUGCGUGCGAGAGGUGCGAUCUUUUCUUGGUCAUGUAGGAUUCUACAGGCGCUUUAUAAGAGAUUUUAGCAAGGCACCUGAUUGGACAACCCCAUUUGAGCUAAUGUGUGAUGCAUCCAAUUACACAUUGGGGGUUGUCCUUGCUCAAAAUAUCUCCUUACUUCAGCUUACUUCUUUUCCACCAAGACUUAGGGAGUUUUUCUUUUCCUAUCUCCUUCAUUACUUUUAUUACAUUUGUCCGAUUCUAUUUGAUGGUUUAAUUGCUUUUAAUCUUUUAAUUGUGCUACAUUGAGGACAAUGUGUUGUUUAAGUAUGGAGGGGGGAGUGUUCUUUGGUUUUGGUUUUGCUAGUUUUGUUAGUUUUGUUGGGUUUCUAGUUUAAUAUUUGUUGGAUCAAGUGGCCUCAGAAUAAUUAAGAAGGGGGGUUGAAUUAAUUAUUCCUAAACCUUUACUAAUUAAAAAUUUACUCUUCUAAGGCUUUUACUUAUGUUGUUAAGAGAAUAAGGAGUAGAAGAGAAACUUAACCAAAAGUAAAAAUGGAAAUUAAAAUGCACAGUGGAAAGUAAAAAGUAGGGAAGAAGGAGACAAACACACAAGAGUUUUUAUAUUGGUUCGGCAACAACCCGUGCCUACAUCCAGUCCCUAAGCGACCUGCGGUCCUUGAGAUUUCUUUCAACAUUGUAAAAAUCCUUUUACAAGCAAAGAUCCACAAGGGAUGUACCCUCCCUUGUUCUCUUUGAACCUAGUGGAUGUACCCUCCACUAGAACUGAUCCACAAGAGAUGUACCCUCUCUUGCUCUCAGUCAAACCCAAGUAGAUGUACCCUCUACUUGUACCACAAAGGAUGUACCCUCCAAUGUGAUAAGACAAAGAUCUUAGGCGGUUAAACCUUUGAUACUUUGUGAAUGGGGAUACAAAAGAAUUCUCAGGCGGUUAGUCCUUUAAACACUUUUGUAUAAGGGAAAGGCAAGAAUCAAAAGAAUUCUCAGACUAUGUCGUUUUGAAUUCUUUGACAAGGGAGAAGGGAGACAUAAAAUAAUUCAGGCGGUUAGUCCUUUGUUCUUUUGGAAAAGGGAGAAGAGAGACACAAAAAGAAUUCAGGCGGUUAGUCCUUGGCGAAUUCUUUUUGGCAAAGGGAAAAGAGAUGAAAAGAAUGAAUAGCACAAGUUUUCAAGGUUUAGAAAACCAAAAAACUUUGGAAAGCUUUUGGCACAAAGAAGAAGAAGAAGUUCAAAGAGAUUCAAGACUUGUAAAGGAUUGUAAUAGAUUGAUUGGAUUGAUAGAAAGAUUGAUUUUCAAAUGCAAAACAAAGCCUUUCUUUUAUAGACUCUUUAUGUCUGGUCAAGAGAACCAUUUAGAAGAGUUAUGACUUUUAGAAAAACUUAAAACCAAUUUGAAAAAGUCAAAAAACAUUUGAAGAGUUACAUCUUUUGAUUUACUCAGAAACAAUGACUAGUAAUCGAUUACCAAAUCAGUGUAAUCGAUUACACAAAGCUUUUAUGUGAAAGGAUGUGACUCUUCACAUUUGAAUUUGAAUUUCAAUGUUCAAAGGCACUGGUAAUCGAUUACCAAAACAUUGUAAUCGAUUACAGCUUUUUGAAAUCAAUUGGAACGUUGUAAAUUCAGUUGAGAACUUUUUCAAAUCCAUUUUGCUACUGGUAAUCGAUUACAAUAAUCUGGUAAUCGAUUACCAGAGAGUAAAAACUCUUUGGUAAACAUGUUUUGAGAAAAAUCCAUGUGCUGCUCAAUUUUUGAAAAAACCUUUUCGUACUUAUCUUGAUUAAGUCUUCUCUUGAUUCUUGAAUCUUGAGUAUUGAAUCUUGAUCUUGAUUCUUGGAAGCUUGAUCCUUGAAUCAUGAUUCUUGAUCCUUGAAAUCAACUUUCCUCUUUAAUCUUGAAGUGUUCUUCAACUUUCCUCUUGAAUCUUGAACUCAUUCUUUGAUUGACCUUUGAGCUUUUUGUCAUCACCUUUGUCAUCAUCUUUGUUAUCAUCAAAACAUCUUUGAACCAAUCUUGAUUCAUCAUGAAGCUUUGCUUCUACAAUAUUUUAGGUCAAUUCUGUUUGCAUGUACAACUUUGCAUAUUUUUCUUUGAAUUAUAGGAUAUGUUCAAGAAAUGGGUAAUUGUUCUGAAAAUAAAAGUCUCUUGACAUUUUGUGAUUUGAAAUCCUUGUUUUUCCUCUACAUGUCAUGAUAGUUUUGAAAGCUCAAUUUAAAAGUGAUAAGUUUACCUUUGUGAGAAUUUGAGCCAUCCAUCAUCAUAAUCUUUUGGUGUGUUUUGACCCAUUGAUUGCUUGCACAAUAGCCUUGGCUUGAUUCUUGUUGAUACUUCCUAAUUCACAUGCAUAUUUGGAAAUGAUUUAGGCAAUUUUGUUCUUAUAAACUUCUAGCCAAAUGGACUUACCUUGAAUUAAUUUUUGGCCAUGCUUAAUGUUUCAUUUUGGCCAUGCUUGAUGUAUCUGUAUAUUGCCUAGUUCUUGCUUUAAUCUUCAAAUUCAAUCUAAAAAAAAUGAAAAAAAAAAUUAAAUUGCUGUAAAUUCUACAAAUUCGUACUGUUCAAAAAAAAAAAAGAAGAAAAGAAGUGAAGUUGAAUAAAUGAGGUCUUGUUAUGAGGACUCGAUUUGGGAGCCUUGGUUGAUUUUGUUGAUAUUAGAGGGUUUGGGUUUACUACUUGUGCUUAAUUUCCACUUAUUCCCCAUUGUUCCUCUAUUCCUUUGGGAUUUAGCUACUUAUUCCAUAUUUUUCUUCCCUACCUUGUCCUUGGCCCCAUUACAACCUUUAAAGACCUUUUGAUCCUUAUGUGCAUGUGUUUGUCAAGUUGUUUGUCAAUUUUAGAAUUUUGCCAAGUCUAUGUGGUGUUUGUUUUCAUGGGUGCUUCGAGAGUAAACAGUAGCCUAGACACUUGAGAGAUAGAGUGUAUAUCUUGUGAGGCUUAAUCAUUUUUCAUUCUUGAGUUGAUUAACUAUUUUGCCACGAUUGGGUUGCUCGGAUGAUUUUCACGAAUGUCUUGACUCUUUGGAUAUCUUCAUGUUAGAUGUUACCCAUUCCUUGAUGUUCAUUGAGAAAUAUGUAAAUGUUUUUGUUUGUUCCUCUUUGAUAUCCUUAGAUUUUGUUCUUUAUUUCAUUUUGCCUAGGAGUGCAAAAGGCUAAGUAUGGGGGGUUUUGAUGUGCCAUUAUUUUCUCCUAUUUCUUAAUCCUUUUUUGCACCAUUUUAAGUACUGAUUAGUCUUAAUUGUCAAAUUAAUAAGGCAGUUUUAUUAUUUGGGCCCAUUCAGCUAAUUUGAUGUUUUUAAUCUAAUUUCAUGAAUUAAUGAAGCAUUGGACUUGAAUCCAAAAUUGGGCUUAGACUUGAAGAGGGCAGACUAUUUUAUUCUACAAAAUUAGAUCUUAUCUUAUCUUAUCUUAUCUUAACUAGAUAUUAUUUAGAUUUGAUCUCAUCUAGAAAUUAUUUCAUCUAGAUCUUAUCUUAUCUUAUCUAGAUUUGAUUGUAUUUUAUUUAUGGUCUUGGAUUUAAAACAGAUUUGUAAGCUUUGGGGCUGGAAAACUAUAUAACAACACCAAGGUUCUAGUUUAGCCCUCUCUUCUCUCUCUCUCCCUCUCUUCUUUUUCUUCUUUAUUUUCGUUUUUUGCAAUUCCAAUUCUGACUUUUUGUUUUAGCAAUAAAAUUUCGUUCUUCAAUCUAUAAUUUCGUUCUCUAUUUGAUUAAUGGAAGGCUAAGUCCCCAGCGUUGUUUUCUCUUGAGGAUCAAGCACAGUUCUCUUUGAGGUUCUAUUAUUACUGUUAAAUUUUGUUCAGUUUUUCCUCUUCACUAAUUACUCUGAAUUUGUUGCUAUUAAUUCAUGCAUGCUUAGUGCUUGAUUAAUUGUCUCUACGCUUAAUUUACGUUCAUGCUUAAUGAUCGUUUAUGAGUAAUUGGUGUAUGUGUUGCUUAAUCAUAUAAUGAAUGCCUUAUGUUAAAUUUCGCUUAGUAAUUUAAUUUAGGGUUGGAUUAAGUGGUUAAACUGAUAAAGGAUAAAUUCUCGCAACAUAGGAUAAGAGACUUGCUUGUGAAUCAAGGGGAAGCAACGUAUUUUAAUUCUGAUAUUUUCUAAUUCAAUUUUACUCGCUGUUUAAUUUACAAAAGCAAACAACCCCCCCCCCCCCAAUUUGUUACUAUUUCCUACUAUCUGUUAUGAACAUUUGGUUUAUCAUUGCUCGUUGGGAAACGACCUAGGAUCACUUCCUAGUUACUGCAUUUUAAUGUUCAUUUGAUUCGGGUACGACCUCGAUCAAUGAUGAAAAAUCUAGUGCUCCAUUAGGGGUUGGAUUUUCAGACACGACUUUUGAGAAUUCUCGCGCUUAAAGGUAAUGUUUUUCAUUUUGCUCCAUAUCGAGUACUUUAAAAUCUAUAUUUUAGUAUUAAACUUAGUAUUUGUUUGGCAAAAGACAAGUCAGUUAGCGGUGUGUAAUCCAUUAUCCUCAUGGGCAUUUACUAGAUAGCGUAAUAUUGCAUAUAGUGGCAAGCAGAACCUCAUAUGCAAAUGCUCAUAGCAGAAGUCGUGCUUAAAAUAGCCUUGGAAAUGGUCUACAUGAAGUAACAUAAUCUAAGUCCCUCUUUUCCUCUGAAUCUUGAUUAGUUAAAAAUGAAUAAUCAAGUACUUACAUAAAUUGACUAAAUUUACAUGCAAUAUAUUAAUGCAAUUGGUGUAGUGUAGAUUCCUUUAGUGGUAUUAAUUUUUUAAUGUUGUUGGAAUCAUGAUUCAUUAGGCUUAGACUUUGGUGUAAGUAUCAUCUGCAUGGCAUGCAUUUAACUUGUAACAUUGUAAUUGCACUGAUCCAUUUUGACAAGAGUAUUGUCAAAUCUAUCUUUUUCUAUGCUUAAUUAAUGGUGGCUUGUUAGGUAUCAAAUUGGGUGGCUACUCUACAUUAGUCCAUGUUUUGAAAGACAUAUUAUCGUAUCAUUUUUAGUGUAAUCUGAAUAUGACUUCUUUUACUCACAAGGCAAGUAAUUAAGAAUUGACACGUUCAAUGGUUUAUAAAAUGCAAAAUAUAUUAUUUUACUUUCACCAUGAAAUUAUUUAUAUCUCCAUUUGUCAAUGUGAUCCUUAUUUUUCACUGCAAAAAGCAUCAUGUAGUGACGUAUUGUGUUCUUACAUCAAUCAAAUAAAAUAAUACUAAUUAAGCUACAAUUGAUGAAACUUAUGAGUUGACCCUACCAUUAUCAUUUAUAAUAUGUAUAAUAUUAUAGUAACCUAGCAUGCAUGUUUUAUAAUAAUAAAAAUAGUUUUGUGAAAUGUAGUAGCAAUUCUUUAGCCAUCACUAUCAGUACUAGCAUUUAUCUAAUGUCAACAUAUAGACUUUAUAUUAGCACUUGAAGCUUUUUGCUAUCUCUUCAUUUUGUUAUAUGUAGGUGUUAGGGGAAAAGAAUAUGAUAUAUAUAUAUAUAUAUAUAUAUAUAUAUAUAUAUAUAUAUAUAUAUAUAUAUAUAUAUUGCCUAAUUUGACCUAAGGACUAAGAGAGAAAGGUAUUUUGCAAAAAUAAAAUUGAUGCAAUUCUACCUCCAAGGGCAUUGGAUAGAAGAUUCCAAGACUAUUGGGCCAAAGAUGCAAGAGAAGGCCCUAGGGUUCUCAUAGGCUUUAGGAUAGAUUUUGGGUCCAUGGGCUCAGUAUGAGCCCAUUUAUCUUCGUACAUAUUAGAUUAGGAUUUCAUUAUUUUUGGGCCUUGUAUUUAGGGCUCCAUAAUGUAGGUAGGGUAUCCUAUUAAUGUAGGAUUUUUCAGCCCUUGUAAUUUAGGGCACCUAGACUAGUUUUUGUACUAUGGGUAGUUUUGUAAUUUCAUAUGCAUUAAGUGAAUAUUUGAUGUGUGUGUUGGGAAAUAAAUUUAAUUGAAUUUGGAGAAGCCCAUACAAUUAAAUUUUAGAGGGGGAGGUGAACAUUUGCUUGCUACACCUCAUUGUCACAUCAUAUAGUAACACUUUGUGCAUGUCUUUCAUGCUUUAUAUGCCUCAUGACACCUAAGCACACUUAGUGGAAAAUCUUUGACUUGAUCUUGGAUUAAUGGGUUGAACCAUAGUUAAAAUUCACUAAUCAUAAUUAGUGAAAUUUUGGCUCCAAAGUUUGGCUCCACAAAUUCAAUUUCAAAUUCAAGUGAAAUUUGAAUAGAAAUUCAAAUUUCCUUCCAAUUUUGUGACACUUAGGCUAUAAAUAGAAGUUAUAUGUGUGCAUUUUUCAACUUUGAUAAUUUGAGAAUUACAUUUCAAAGUUGAGACCUCAUUUGAGACACAAAAUUUCGUGCUCUUUCUCUCCCUCUCCCUCCACUCAUCUUCUCUUACCUUCAAGCUCUUAUCCAUGGCUUCCUACGGUGGUAAGCUUGUUCUUGACUCAUCUUCUCGUUGAAGUGGUGUCUCCAAUCAUCUUUCUUCCUUCUCCAUUCUGUUGCCAUUCAUCUUCAAGAAGCAAAGGAAUCCAUUGAUGAAGAAGAUCCAAGGCCUACAAGUUCCACAUGGAGCUACAUCAUGUGGUAUCAAGAGCAUCUUCAUCUAGGUGAUGUUCUUUUGCUUCCUCUAUCUUUUUGGUCGGUCAAUUCACUUUAACUCCUUGUUCUUCAUCUUAUUCUCCAUGUAUAUCCUCCAUUUUCUUGUGGUUUGGUUCUGUUCAGAGUAGAUUCAAAAAAAUAAAUCGAUUAAAUCUUAUAUCUAUACUUGUUCUUGCAUUUCUAUGGUUCAAAUUUUACAAAUCUACUCUUGAAUCAUGUUUUUGUGUUUAUUAUAGGUUCUAUCAUUUUUUAGUCAUAAUCUUCUUGUGUUGAACCUCUAGAUCUAAAUUUUCUUCCAAAAUAUUAAUUAGAAAUUUGCAUGAAAUUAAAAAAUACGAAAAAUCACACAAGUUGGCAGGAAAAUCAAUAUCCAGGAAAAAAAAAGUGAAAGGGAAGUGUGCUUGUUGUUUUGGCACGAAAUUUGUUCUAUAAUUUGUACCUAUUUUAUACGAAUCAUAGUUCUGAAAUUUCAAUUGAAAAUUAGUGUGAAAAAAAGUGCCAAAACUAGAGGUUUCUUAAGUCUUAUUUUUUUAGUUUUUUUUUACUCUACUCUAGAGUCAUUCUUCUUGUGUUGAACCUCUAGAUCUAAAUUUUCUUCCAAAAUAUUGAUUAGAAAAAAAAUGCAAAAAUCUACGUGUAAAUCACUUAAUCCAUGUUGUCUUAGAGUCAUGUUUAGUCAUAAUAAUUGUCACAUUAUGUUCUAAGUUUGUGUUGAAUUGUGAUUUUGUUGAUUGAAUUCUAGAUACAUUUGUUCAUGUAUUCUUGUCAUUCUUAGCCUAUCUUUUGAAUUUUGAGUCUAAGUCAUGCAUGUUAUUUAGUUCAUAACAUGUUCUAAAUCAAUUCCUAGAAGCAGUCUUGUUGUUGAACUUUGUUUUGUUUUCUAAGUUUCCUAUAUGAUGCCUAUGAAGAAAUUGAGUUGUGGUGUUGAGUUGUGGCUAAAUUUGUGAACCAAAAUAAGUCUUAAGCUCUCUUGAAUUGUGUUAUUCAAGAUAUUUGAGCAUAGUCAAACACAAAUUGUGAUUAUCCAAGCCUUAAGCAACAUAAACACUACUAUUGAUUUCUAGGUUAAAAUCACUUGUGCUCGUAGCUUGAACAUACAAACUUGUAAAAAUUAUUGGGAAUUGGUCACUGCGAAUUUUGAGCUGAAAUUUUUAUUGAAUUUUGUAGACUUCUGGAAAAAAAUUAUAAAAAAGGAACCAAGCGAUUUGGAUAAAAUGAAAAAAUACGAAAAAUCACACAAGUUGGCAAGAAAAUCAGUAUCCAAGAAAAAAGUGAAAAGGAAGUGUGCUUGUUGUUUUGGCUUGAAAUUUGUUCUAUAAUUUGUGCCUAUUUUAUACCAAUCAUAGUUUCGAAAUUUCAAUUGAAAAUUAGUGUGAAAAAAGUGCCAAAACUAGAAGUUUCUUGAGUCUUAUUUUUUUAGUUUUUUUUACUCUACUCUAGAGUCAUUCUUCUUGUGUUGAACCUCUAGAUCUAAAUUUUCUUCCAAAAUAUUGAGUAGAAAAAAAAAACACAAAAAUUUAAGUUUAAAUCACUUAAUCCAUGUUGUCUUAGAGUCAUGUUAAGUUAUAAUAAUUGUCACAUUAUGUUCUAAGUUUGUGUUGAAUUUUGAUUUUGUUGAUUGAAUUCUAGAUACAUUUGUUCAUGUAUUCUUGUCAUUCUUAGCCUAUCUUUUGAAUUUUGAGUCUAAGUCAUGCAUGUUAUUUAGUUCAUAACAUGUUCUAAAUCAAUUCCUAGAAGUAGUCUUAUUGUUGAACUUUGUUUUGUUUUCCAAGUUUCCUAUAUGAUGCCUAUGAAGAAAUUGAGUUGUCGUGCUAAUUUGUGGCUGGAUUUGUGAAUCAAAAUAAGUCUUAAGGUCUCUUGAAUUGUGUUAUUCAAGACAUUUGAGCAUAAUCAAACACAAAUUGUGAUCUUCUUAAUGGAAUUAACAUUCUCUUACUUUGUACUACCUUGCUAGUUAGAUUCUCAGUCUUAACAAAUUUCAUUUAUUUUAAAUAUAUAUAUAUAUACACACACACACACACACACACACACACACACACAUUUGUAUUGCUUGCAUGCUGCCUGAAUAUUGUUUGGAUUGAUGUUGUUUUUAAUUUUGUAGUUUUGGGUUAAUUAACAAAACAAACAACAUAUUUAAAAAAAAUACAAAACAACAUUGAUUCUGAAAGAACCGAUGUUGUAAUGCACCAUACAACAUUGGUUUUGGCUAAAACCGACCGAUGUUGUAUAGUAGCAAAACAACAUCGGUUUUGGAAGAAACCGAUGUUGUAUGGUGCAAAACAACAUCGGUUCUUCCAAGACCGAUAUUUUUGAAGUUUUUGUAUUUUUCUUUGUAUAUUUCUUUCUAUACGACAUUGGUUUUCUUAAAAACCAAUGUUGAGUAGUGUAUGUCAAUUUCAGUUUUAUAAAAAUUGAUGUUAACAUUGAUACUUUUAAUGUUGGUGGUUUCAACAUUUGUUAAAAGUCGAUGUUGAAAGUAAAAAAUAACUGAUGUUAAAAUCCUAUUAUCUAGUAGUGUUACUGCUACCACCACCAUUGUGAUCACCACUAUGGCCACAAUUGUAGCCAUUAACCUAAUGUCCUUGAUUGCCAACUUCUUCGUGGCUCUCAUAAUAUAAUACUUCACACAGUGACACUUCACUCAACAUCCUUUUUGGUCAGAACCUUCCGUAGGUAGUCCUUUCUAAGACCUCGACAAUCAUCUUUGACACUGCUCAAUUGCUCUCAAGAUCAUUGACUGUCCCCACAAAUCAACAUGAGACUUUUUAGCAUGCUUUUUCCUCACUCACAUGCUUGCACGAAAACUUCCCUGAAGAUCACCUAUCUCAUAACUACUCUAAGUCAAGCAAACUUAACUGUGAAGUUCUUAAGUGAUAAGCUACUAAAAAGUAGAUACAUCUUGUUGGUAUAAGUAGUGUCAAUUAAUACUUUUAAGUUCUUGAGUCUUUUGUUUUAGUUUUUUUUACUCUACUCUAGAGUCAUUCUAAGUUUCUCUUUGAGUCCUAGCUUGCUUUUAUGUGCUUUUCAUUGCUUUAAUUGUUGAAUAAUCCUUGAAAAUUUGUCUUGUUAAAACUCUAUUAGUUUAACUUUCAUUUCAUUUUUUUGGUCUUCGGUUAUUGCUUGUCUCUUUGUUUCCUUGUUUGUGAGUUGCCAUAUAGGGAAUUGGAAAGGAGGAUUGGUGUCAUCCCUUGAAGAAUUUGAGUCAAGAAGCAAGGAAAAAACCACCUUAAGAGCUAUUAGACUAAGAAGCACUCCAAAUUGAGAGAAUCACCAAAGAGAGAACAACCAUCAAAAUUGAGGACCUUUUGGUAAUUUUGUAAUUGAUAAUUUACUUACUUUCAUUGCUUUCAAAUUUUGUAACAAAAAGGCCUUUCAUUGGAAGUAAGUUGGGAGCCUCCAAUAGGUCACCCUACUUCCAUUUGUGUGUAAUAAUUUUAGGCAAUUUUCCCUUAGGAUUAUGAGUGUUUUGUUGGGAACCUUAAAUGUGGUCAUCCAAACACUCUUAGGAUUCGCCUAGUUUACAUUUCUUGCUUACUUUCAUAGCUUAUUUCUUUUACCUUCCAUUGUCAAACAGCCUAGAUAGCUUACCUUUUACCAAUUAUUUUUUACCUUAUCUUUCACACCUCUUUUAGUGUUUAUUUUGGCUAGUUUCAACCAUAGUCUCUUUUACCUUUUGUUUUCAAACCCCCAACAAGAAAGAACCAUAACUUAGGAACCAACAUGAGUCUUCAUUCUUCAUCUAGUGUUAAUGGUGAGAGUUCUACUCCUAAGGACCCCUUGUAUAAGAUAUUAGAUGAGUUGAGAUCCCUUAAGUUGUGGAAAGAAAAACAAGAGAGAAGAAAAAAGGUAAAAAAAGAGUGGAAGAAAUAAGUCAAGAUGAAAGAGAGAAAAUAAGAAAGGAAGAAAGAAGAAAAAUAAUGAAAGAAAUGAAAAGAGAAAAACAUGUCUCUUAUAGUAGUCAUAACUCUUGUAAGAGCCUAAGUGAAGAACUUCGUGACUAUUAUGAAGGAAGGCAUAGGUCACAUCUUAGACCUCACUCCCAUAGGAGAGAAAAUGAAAGAAAGCCUCAAGAGGCUAACAUUAACCUCCCAUACUUCCAUGGGAAGGACAAUGUAGAGGCUUACUUAGAUUGGGAAAUAAGGGUAGAGCAAAAACUUAAAAAAAAGUCUACUUUAAAAUCUUAUGGCUCUCAUUCUUAUCCAAAGAAAGACCAAGGUCUAGGCAUCUUAAGGGUAGCACCUUCUAAGCCCAAAGAUGAUAAGAGGAAGACAAUAGAAAAGCAACCCCCUAAGGCUAGUAUGCAAGAAAAGAUUAGCUUUAUAAAGUGCUUUAAAUGUCUUGGAAGGGGACACAUUACUUAUCAAUACCCCACCAAGAAAACCAUGAUUAUGAGGAGCCAAGACAUUUAUAGUAGCCAAGAUGAGGCUACUCUUUACCUUCUUCGAGUGAAAGUGAAGAAGCAAAAGGGGAAAAAUCUAGUGAAGAAAUCUACCCCCAAGAAGAAGGACAACCUUUAAUGGUUAAGGAGGAGUGUAAGAAGGUAAGUGUCUCCUCUAAAAGGUUAGCUAAGAAGGGAAAGACAUUUUGCAAUAAAGACAAAUAUUAAAGAAACUUUCCCUCUUAGACAACCUCCACAUUUUCUCCUUUGUAAAAAGACACUUGUUAGCAUUGGCACAUCUCUUGGGCUUGAGUUUAUUCCUCAAGUAAAGGAGUUGAUGGAUGAGGGUUUGGUUCGCAAGAGCUUAAAUCCUUGUGCUUUGUUGGUGCCCAAAAUAGGUAUUAUUAGGCACCAAAUCCCUAAAAUAGGUGGUAUGAUGAAUGUUUUGAGUGGUGCAACCCUCUUUUGUAAAAUCACUCGUGCACCCAACAUCUUCAUGAUUUGUGUACAUAGGGACUCAUUAGGUAGGUUUGUUCUUUUUUUUAGUUUCAAUACAAACUUAGGUACUCAUAUGGGACACCUUAGGUUUGAAAUACUUUUUGUUAGGAAUAAUCAACAUGAAAAUAUAGAAAAAUGUAUGUUUUAUUGCAUUACUUUUCUUAAUUUUUUAAAUAGUGAUCAAAGGGUUCCCAUGAACCCUAAGAGAAUAAAGGUCAUUCCUGAGUGGCCCACUCCACCAAGUAUAAGAAAAAUUUGGGGUUUCCAUGACUUAACAAACUUUUACAAAAGGUUUGUCCCAUAUUUUUCUAUACUUGUAGCACCACUCAUUGAGUUGGUGAGGAACCAUGUUCCUUCAUGGGAAGAUGCCCAGGAAAUGGAUUUUCAAAUCUUACCUUACUUCAACAUACCAAACACCACUAAUAUAUAUGUUUUUGUUCUUUUUACAGGAGUUGAGGAAAAAAGCCCAGAGUUUCAAGAAUCUCGAGAUUUGAGAUCAAAUCCUUUUCAAGGGGGAGGGAAUGAUGCAAUCCUACCCUGCAAGGGCAUUGGAUAGAAGACUCCAAGUAGAUUGGGCCAGAGAUGCAAGAGAAGACCCUAAGGUUCUCGAGCCCAUGGGCUAAGUAUGAGCCCACUUAUCUUUGUACAUAUUAUAUUAAGGUUUCAUUAUUUUUGGGCCUUGUAUUUAGGGCUCCAUAAUGUAGGUAUGGUAUCCUAGAAAUGUAGGAUUUUUCAGCCCUUGUAUUUUAGGGCACCUAGACUAGUUUUUGUAUUAGGGGUAGUUUUGUAAUUUCACAUGCAUUAAGUGAAUAUUUGAUGUGUGUGUUGGAAAAUAAAUUUAAUUGAAUUGGGAGAAGCCCAAUCCAAUUAAAUUUUAGAGGGGAAGGUGAGCAUUUGCUUACUACACCCCAUUGCCACAUCAUAUAGUCACACUUUGUGCAUGUCCUUCAUGCUUUACAUGCCUCAUGACACCUACGCACACUUAGUGAAGAAUCUUGGACUUGAUCUUGGAUUAGUAGGCUGAACCAUAACUAAAAGUCACUAAUCAUAAUUAGUAAAAUUUUGGCUCCAAAAUUUGGCUCCACAAAUUCAAUUUCAAAUCCAAGUGAAAUUUGAAUAGAAAUUCAAAUUUCCCUCCAAUUUUGUGUGACACUUAGGCUAUAAAUAGAGGUCAUGUGUGUGCAAUUUUUUUCAACUUUGAUCAUUUGAAAAUUAAACUUCAGAUUUCAGAGCUCUUUUAGAGCACAAAAUUUCGUCCUUUUCUCUUCCUCUCCCUCCAUUCAUCUCUUUCUUCCUCCAAGCUCUUAUCCAUGACCUCUUAUGGUGAUGAACUUCUUCUAGACUCAUCUUCUCCUUGAAGUGGCGUCUCCUCUCUCUCUUCCUUCUCCAUUUCACUGCCAUUCAUCUUCCAAGAAGCAAAUGAAUCUAUUGAUGAAGAAGAUCCUAGGCCUACAAACUCCAAUGGAGCUUACAUCACUGUGGGUCUUUCAACUUGGUUAUUUUAGGAGGCUAAUUUGGCUACUUGGCAAGUCAAUUGAAUACUCAAAGCGAUUAAAAUGCUUGUUGUGAAGUUAUAAUCUUGCUUUUAUUAAAAGGAGGUAUUUGACUAUUAGACUAGUCGAAUACCCUUUCAGUACAGUAGAUAAUCACAAAGUUUUCCAAGUGUAUUUAUAAUUCCUAUUUUUCUUAAAACCAUAAUGUGAUCAAAAGUGGGGCUACCCACUGCCAAGUAAAAUUGAAGGCAUCCUUCUCAACCAACCAUUGAUUGUGACAUUGAGAAUUCAGUAGGACUUAUUGAUUGUCAAACAUGAUACAAAACAGAACACAUUAAAAGGAAAUGAUUUGUUGAUUCAAAAACAUUAUAGAAACAUAGCAUUUAAGAGUUUUCUUUUGGUGAGAUUCCUCUCUUGAGAAGAUUAUAUUUUCUGGGGAGUUUAUUAAGAACCACCUUUUGAGAAGCAGAGGAAGUGUAUAUAGAUUGUCAAACAAUAUACUAACUUCUGAAGAGCCUUGUUGUUGAAGCUUUUAAUUUGUAUGCUGGCUUUAUUGUGUAAGACAUAUAUGGAUGCAUCUAUCUUCUAAAGCUCGGGUCUGAUUGAUCUUCACAUACUAAUGCACUGUUAAUUAUAAAACAAAUCAAAGUGUUUACUAAAUCCUUUUCUCAUUCCAGCAAGUUUCAAUGCUAAAAUAGAUUCCACUUCCAAGCACCAUUUUUUCCAUGCACUGGCCACUUCAUUGACUUUUGCCUCCUCGGUUGUACAGAUGAGAAACAUGUCAAAAAGAUCUUUUGAACCUAGCUUCUACCAAUUUAUCAACUAUAAUAGUAGGUACCACACUCCUAUUUCCUAUUUUGAUGGCUACUUCCUCUUUAAACCAUUUUUUCUCGCACUCUCACCAUUCUGACGCCAUAGUUUCCUCUUUAUUUAACUCCCACUUUACAUAUUUUUUGAGACUAUAAUCAUGUUCAAUAAAACCUAUCCCUGGACUACUAAGUUUUAUUUUUAAUUCUCCAUAGGAGCUAAUUUAGUCGAAUAAUUCAAAGUCUCUCACCCUUAAUCCUCCCUCUUUUAAUUUCACUAGCGUACUCUUUCUCUUUUGACCCAAACCACUUCUGAUGAAUCCUCAUAAUUACUCCAACAAAUUUAUAAUAUGAAUUAUAAAAAAUAUUACACCACCAUUCCAACAUAAACGUCGUCCUAGUUUAUUUUACAGAAUAAAAAAAAUAAUAAGUAUAUAAAAGAGAAUAAUAAAUUUAUAAAACUAACUUUAUUAUAUAGAUAAAAAAGAAUAAUAUUAAUAUUAUAUUCAAAAACUAAAAUAACAUUUAUUACGAGCAUGAUGAAAAAAAGUAAUUAAUAUUACAUUAAAAAUUAAAUGGGAUAAGAAUAAUUUGUUUUUACUAAAUGCUGCACUUAUUUUAGGACAAAUGUAGUAUUAUUACAUCCGUCUCUAUAUAUAAGAUUUUUUCAAUUAAUUUACGUGUUUAAAAAAGUAGUUAAUUUAAUUAAGUACAUUAAAUUUAUUAAUAAUUUAUACUAUUUUUCAAAAUUAUCAUUAAUUUCUCUUUUCACUUAAUUAUUUCUCACCUAAUUAAUUAAUGUGAUUUCUUCUAUUCUCACAUUCUAAUAAGAGAGAAAGUUCGUAUAGGAAUGAAAUAGGUAAUUAAUGCACUAAACAAUUAAAAGAAAGUUUUAUAAAAAUGAAUAAAUAAUAAAAUAAAAUGUAUCUUAUAUAUGGAAACAAAGAUAGUAUUUCUAACUAACGAGACUAUUGUUUUGCUUUUCUUUUAGAGGGUAUUUUAGGAUAUUAAUUAAUAAACUAAAAAGAAAAAUAAUUAUUGUGUAAAUCAUAAGAAAAUAAAAAAAAAUUAUAAAUAAUAUAAUUUUUAUGUUUUCCAAUAAAAAUAUUUUAUUUUAAAUUCUUUAACCAAGGUAUUUGCCGCAAUUGUUAGACUUUGCUCUUUUUAAUUGUCGUAUGAGAGGUGGAGGAUGCAUGCACUUUAGCGAUUCUCCAUCCUGGAACUCAAUCCUCACGUGUAAUUUGCAAGCGUUGGCGGUGUGGUCAUUCCCAAGGAAUAUCUGUUCUCGUUAACUUUGCACUUUUUGGCCCUUAAUCAUACUGUACCUCCAAGAUCAAAAUCGUAAUUAAACAUUUAUGCAAAUUUUAUAUAUAUAAAAAAUCUAAUAAGUAUUUUUAAAAUAUUGGUUAAAUAAUUGAAAGAAAAAUAUUUUUAUUGAGAUAAGUAAAAUUAUACUGUUAGAUGACUUUUUUAACUCUUUUAUAAUUUUCAUAAUAAAUAUUUUUUCUUUUAAAUAUCUUAACUCAUUGACUAACAAGAAAAUAAAAAAAAAUAAAAAAUUUACCCACAUCAAAGUGAUGGAAUCAUAAUAUAAGUGUAAAUGUGAUCUCGUGACCUUCCAAAAUUGUAUGUAUUUUUUAAUAUUUAAUUUUUUAUAUUAAAACUCUAGCUUUUAGUGAAUCAGUGCAAAACUUAUUAUGAUCAUGUAGGAACUGUAGACGACCUCAAAAGAAAAAAAAUGAAGUAACUGUAGACUACAUAUAUUAAUUAAAUUUGUUAUCAUGUAUGUGUUAGGUUAGGGAUGACAUAUAGUAACUGUAGACUACAUUGUCCCGAUUCUCAUUAAGGAAUAUUAUUUUACUCUUGUGCCUGUUCUUUGAUUCCAAGCAAAGACCCUGAAAUUAUUCAAAACAAAAAAAAAAAAUCUUACUCUAGUCCUUUAAAUUAUAUAAAUUAGAUAUUUUAAUCCUGAAAAUUUUAGAAAUAUUUAAUUAACUUAUUAAUAUACUUCCUUUAUGGGCUGAUAAAAAACUUAUUAUUAUUAUUUUUUUAAAAAGUCAUUAUUAUAAUCUUUUACGACUGUAUUUUUAUUCGUUUUGAAUAAAAAAGGAAAAAAAUUAAAUGGCAUUUUAUAAAAAUAAAGAGUGAAAAAAAUCAGAGAUUAAAAUAUAACUCAUACAAUUUUAAUGAUUUAGAUAAUAAUAAAAUAAUAAAAGGGCUAAAGAAUAAUCAUAUGACCCAUAUAUAUAUGAGAGAGAGAGAGAGAGAGAGAGAGAGAGAGAGAGAGAGAGAGAGAGAGAGAGAGAGAGAGAGAGAUUGUAGAAGUAGUUUAAGUAAAAUUUAUGUAAAUCCUUUCAAGUAUCCUCUUAUGUAUACAAUUAUUAAAAGUAAUUAUGUAAUUUUUAUGUAUAAAGAUUCUGCCGAAAAAAUACUUUUUUCUUCUCAAUCUCUCCAUCGAUCUAAAUAUGUUUCAUAGAGUUCUAAAAUCCUUGUUUUCAGAGGAGGAAAAAAAAAUGAAUUUGAAGUUUCAAUCAAAAAAAUUUAAAGUAUUUCUAAAUUAAGGGAAAAAAUUGUCAUCUAUGUAUUAGAUAAUUAAUUAAGGGGAUUUAGAAUUAUUUUUUCAUAUUUAAUUUACUUAGUGUUAUUAAAUAACAUUGAGUCUUGUGGAUAUAAAACAUAAUUAGAAGGAGAAACCUUAAAAAAAAUAGUUAAAUAGGUUCUCUAAAAUUAUCAUCAGUAAAAUUAAUAGAUACUCGACAUCAAUAUUAUGAAGAUAAAAAAAUAUAUUGAUAAAAAAAUGUUGACUUCGUCUCAUUUUUAUGUCUAAUUUUUUAAGUGUUAGCUUUCCAAAAAAAGUACUCUUAUUUAUUAAUAUUGUUUUAAAAUUUAAAAUAAUACCAAUUAUAUAUUAUUGAUAAUUAUAUAUAUCUUUAUCUUUAUGAUUUAUUUUAUAAAUUUAUCAUAAAAUUAAAUAGAAAGAAAUAAAAUAAAAAGUAACAAAAUUAAUCAAUAAAAUAAAUAAAAGGCACAACAGAAAACUAGAUAACAAUUUUAAGAAACACAAGAACAUUAGUUAUAAUUUUUAUUUUCUGUGUCACAACCUUAAACAACAUUUAUAAAAUAGAAGUAGUAAUUUUAUAAGGAUAAAAAUUGAAGUGAUUAGGUACUAGUAAAACUAUUUUUAGUUAAAAUGCAAAUUUUAGUUAGAUUAUUCGCAUCAAGUUUUAAUACUAAACUAUUAGUGAUUAAUGAGACAAUUCUGAGUUUAUUUGAUAAACAAUAUCAUAAAUAUGCAAAGAUUAACUACUUAAUUGAAAGACUAUAUAAAUAUCUAUUUAUUGAAAGUUGUACAAAUAAUAGUAAGGGUUAAAAUUUAAUGUGAAGGUGGAAUAUCUUACAUUAAGAAUAAAUAGAUAAGUUGAGUAACACAUAAGUGAGAAAGACUCAUAAACCUCAUGUCUUAUGAUUUUAUGUUAAAGGUGAUGUCAAAUUCACUUAUUAUCUACUUGUAUAUUUGGUCUAUUAGUGAAGAUUUUUCCAGUGUUUUAUUCCCCUAGAUUAGAAUCAAUGGUUUGAUCUGGUGAACUUGUGCAAAUAUAAUGGAAUUAGUGGUGGAUUCACGCAUGAAAAUUUUUUAUAUCGAAAGUCUUCUUAAUGGUGGGUAUAGGAAUCGAAAAGUUCUCACAAUAACAUCGAAAUUGGACUAUAUGUCUCGCUAAUGUGAAUUAAUGGCGAUGCAAGUAUCUAGAAUGUCAUCAUUGAAUACUUGCAGAUUAAAAAAAAGUUUCCGCUUGAGGGAGAACUACCAUAUGUAAAAAAUAUUCAUACUUAAGAAGAAUUGUUAGAAUUCAAAUGUGAAGGUGAAAUCAAACAUUAGGUAAAAAUAAAUAAGUUGAGUAACAUAUAUGUGAGGAAGACUCACAAAUGUGAUUCCUUUAAGUUUGGAGAUGAAGAUAAUGUCAAAUUUACUUGUGUGUGGUGUGCUUGUAAUCCAUUGUUAAAAAUCUCUAUGAUGUUUUAUCUCUUUUAGAUUCCCAAUAGUCUUUAUUCAUAAUUUUAUAGUUUUUAAUAAAAUUUAAUUAAUAUUUGUUGUAAGAAUGGUGGAUCUAAGCUCUGAUACGGUGGUUCGAGGCUCCCAUGCGUUGUGUAAGAGAUUUGGAGUGGUAGAUUUGAGUAGAUCUUAGAAGAGUGUAGGGAGAAGAAGCCAAGUUUGGGUUUGUAUCCAGAAUAUUAAGUUAGCCCUGUAGUUUGUUGUUGAUAGGCUUAUAUAGUCAUUUUCAGCGGGAAAAUCCAUUAGAUGCCCAUGGCCACGUGUAUCCAGUGGUUGUCAACGGGCAAAGUUUAUCCCUUGUCAGUUGCUAAGCGUCGGCGAUGCUCAAAGAUCUCGACGGAGGCAUCUCAAGAUACCUAGGUCUGAGAUACAUCUCUAACAAUAUUAGAGAAUGUAUUAAAAAAAAUAUUAUUAAUAUUUUUGUGUGUGAGUGUGUGCAUUAUCUGCAUUCUUUCGUUUCUCAUAAUAUCAUCCCUAACUAUUUGGAUUUUAACAUUACCGACAUAAUAGCAUGUAGAAAAUGCCCAGCCGACACCUAAAAGGCAUGAAGAAAUAUGAUGUGGUUGAGCAAUGCUUUGUCGUUGAUUGAUUUGUCAAAUGUUUAUUUGUUUCCUUUAGAAAAUAAGUGUGCAAUAAUACAAUAACGAAAGGGACCUCAAUACAAUAUAACUUGUUUCUCAGAAAAAGAAAAUAAUAUCUAUAUACAUCGGAGAGGAAUCAAAUUAUUAGUCAUUGCUUUAAUUAUAAUUCAAAGUUUCUAUAAUAAAACUACUAAACUGGGUCACGUGACUGUAAAACACAUAUAGCUUAUUUUUACUUAAGAGGAAAACACAUAUAUACCUCCUCAAUAAAACUCUGGAUCUCUAAGAUCGUCAUCCUUAAUCACACAGCUCAAUAUUGUGGUCACGAGUUAUAUAGCUAAUCACGUGAGGCACCUUUGCAUACUUGAUAACGAAAAAUUGCUUGAUGGAUUAUUCGUUGGUGAGGAAACUAUUUUAUACCAUGAUGAAUUUCGUUUGAAUAUCUGAAUGGGCUAGAAGCAAAUCAUUGAGGUAUAGAGAUCGUAUGUGUUAUAUUCGAUCGCUUCUAUGUAAAAUUUUAAGUAUAUAUCAAAUUGCCUUGAUUUUGUCUAGUUUUUGUGCUACGUACCCUGCUAUCUAGGAAUAGUGGCCUUGAUUGCUGUAAAUGAGGUUGUGAUGAUGGGGGUUUUAAUCUGAAAUUGCCGCAUGAGAUAAAAAUAUUGGAUUAUUGUUGAGUAGAGAAAUUUAUUGAGGCUAUGCGAGGAAGAAAGGAAAUUGCUUGAAAUUUUGAAUAGAAGAGAGAAGCUAAUAUAGAGAAUGAGGAUUUGAGUCUAAUUCAAUUUCAAAAAUUAAUUAGUUUAUAGGGUGAAAGUUAUCUUUAUUUAUAUAAUCUAUCUUGACCUCUAGCCGAUGUGAAACUUGAGAUUUGUUUUUCAAAUACUCCCCCUCAUGUCCAACACUUUUGGGCUUAGUGUGUGGAUAACAUGAUGGGUGACUCGUUUAAUGGAUUUAAGAUAUGUUUUAAUACCAUUUUAAAAUGUGGGUAUGAGCUUAUCUAAAACCCAAAUACUAGUUCAUGGGCUGAGGGUUACUCCCAUUUAUAUAGUCUAUCUUGACACUAUCUCUAGUCAAUGUGGGACUUGGGUUUUCCAAUAUUAAUUACUCUAAAUCACAAUCAAUAAUCUUCGAAGAAUUUCCUUUAUUCUAAAAUAAACUAUGUUUAAGACCUUUUACAUAUAUUAAGGAAAAUAAGGCUGAAACAUGUGUUUUUGUCCUUAUAAAAUUGGUAAAGUUUCAUUUUUGUCCCUUCGAAAAAUUUCGUUCUUGUUGCGUUUUCAUCAUUCGAAGUAAGGGGGAGUAAGAACUUUUGCUCGUAAGUAUGGCAUUGGCCUACAUGACGAAGCAUAACCAUGCUUCACGUAAGCAGGGACAUUCGAAAGGGAAACAAAAUAGAGUAAGACUUUAGGAAUUAUAGUCUAUCUUGACACUACCUCUAGUCAAUGUGGAACUUGAGUUUUCCAAUAUUAAUUACUAUAAAUCACAAUCAAUAAUCCUCAAAUUUCCUUUAUUCUAAAAUAAACUAUGUUUAAGACCUUUUACAUAUAUUAAGGAAAAUAAGGCUGAAACGUGGUUUUGUACUUAUAAAAUUGGUAAAGUUUCAUUUUUGUCCCUUCAAAAAAUUUUGUUCUUGUUGUGUUUUCGUCAUUCGAAGUAAGGGGGAGUAAAAACUCUUGCUCGUAAGUAUGGCAUUGGCCUACAUGACAAAGCAUAACCAUGCUUCACGUUAGCAGGGACAUUCGAAAGGGAAACAAAAUAGAGUAAGAUUUUAGGAAUUAUAAUCUAUCUUGACACUACCUCUAGUCAAUGUGGGACUUGGGUUUUCCAAUAUUAAUUACUAUAAAUCACAAUCAAUAAUCCUCGAAGAAUUUCCUUUAUUCUAAAAUAAACUAUGUUUAAGACCUUUUACAUAUAUUAAGGAAAAUAAGGCUGAAACAUAUGUUUUUGUCCUUAUAAAAUUGGUAAAGUUUCAUUUUUGUUCCUUCGAAAAAUUUCAAUCUUGUUGUGUUUUGGUCAUUUGAAGUAAGGGGGAGUAAGAACUCUUGCUCAUAAGUAUGGCAUUGGCCUACAUGACGAAGCAUAACCAUGCUUCACGUAAGUAGGGACAUUCAAAAGGGAAACAAAAUAGAGUAAGAUUUUAGGAAUUAUGCACGACCAUGCUUCACAACAAAAUUACCACUUUGGAAUGUAUGCAUAGAAACUUGAUGUGUAAAAUAUAUUUGCACAAGGGCAAGCAUACCCUAUACAAAAGUUAUAGUGGGCCGAAGUCCAAAUAUCAUACCCAAAGGAUCAGUUGUAUUCCCAUAAUAAUUUAAUUUUCAAUAAACUAAACAAUUUGGGCUUUCAUCGAUAGUUGAAAGAUUUGUGUUUAAUUACUUUGUAGAAAAUACUACUCUAGAAUAAUGAGAGAGACAGUGCAAUGAAAUUAUAGAUGAAAAGGCUUGGGGCUAUGAUUAAAUCUCACAAAAUGAAUUUCUCUAAUUCUACAUUAGUAAAUUUCUCAAUGUUUAUCAAUUACUGACUUCUCUUAAGGUUGCUCAAAGGUUUUUGCCAAACACUUUCAACAAUCUUUCUCUUAAUUUAGUUCUAAUUUGGUAAUUAAGAAAUAAAUUACGACAAAGCAUAAACACAUAAAGAAUGACAAUCAGAAAUACCUAAAAUAUGUUUGGUCAAUCAUUAUUCUAAAGGAUUCAGUUGUUCUAUAAUUGCUAUUCAUAUGAAGUCGAUCACAAACACACAAAUAAAUAAAAUAUAGAUUGACCAAGUCUAAUGAGAAAUUAAGCACAAUAUAACAACAUAAUUGACUGAAUAAAAAUAUUUUAAAUUAAGUAAAAUUGGGGUUCAUCUGCAGAUUACAUCAUAACCCUAGAAAAUAAGGGUUUAGCCAGCCAUAGGCACAAACAAGCAAAACAAUAACCUCAUAUGCAUGAGAAAGAUAAGGGAGUAAGAAAAAUUACAAUUAGAAGCCCCAACAAUCUUCUCGUGUUCUUCCCAAUUCAAAAGAGAUCUCACACUAUGCCUAGGUCACUCACAAAGUCAAUUUUUGUACACAACGUAAAAUAUAUCUACUUUCAUUUUCCUCUUUCUAUUUAUAGUACAAAAUUAGAGUGUUUGUCAUGGAAGGAAGCACGAUCAUUCUCGAAAAAUUAAAGCCUGAUUGUGAAAUUUGGAGAAUAAUCAUCCUAGAUGAGAACAAUUGUUCUUGAAAAAUUUGAUGUUGUUUCCCAAUUUUUGAAAAUCAGAGCAUGGGUGGGCUGGAAGGAACAUAGAUGUGCUGGAAUAAGCACGACCAUUUUCCCAAAUAGCAUGAUCGUGCUCUUCGUCAUGGUUUUUGUUUAACUUUUUUUCAGCCUUUUUUUUGUGAGUUUUCCUCUUUUUUCAACUUUUGGUCUGUUUGCGUCACACUUUAAAGAAGUCCAUGAGUUUUGCCAACAAAUUAAGUAUAAAAAAAACAUGCAAAACACAAGGCUAAAAUUCUUAUCAAAUAUCACACAAAUACCAGUUUAUCAACCUCCCCACACUUGAACAUUGAUUGUCCUCAAGCAAUUAUUCUGAUUUAAAUAUUAAAAUUGGUUUCUCUUAAUCCAAGAAAUCAUUCCAUAGAGCCACAAAAUUUGUUUUUUAUUAACACUCAACAUAAAAUAGAAUAGACAGACAACAUAGAGUUCAAGAUUUUUUCCCUAGGAACUUCAAUAGAUUUUCAAUUCUAGUUGGAUGUCAAGUUUCAAAGAGCAACAUAUCACUUUUCUCACCACAAUCAUAAGCACUCAGAUCACACUUAAGAAGUGUGAAACUCCAUCUAUCUGUCAAUCAACUUGAUAACUGCAAAAUUUGAGUUAAUUUGAUAAUCAAUUUUGGCCAUGAAUGAUUGAAAUUUCUUCACUUUACUGUUGUUUUUAAUGAAAUAAUAAAGAAAUUAAUAUCUUCAGAAUUUUUUAUUGGCAUAAUUCAAAAGAAAAAGAUUUCAAGUGCUUUAUAGGAAAAUUGAUACCAAAACUAGAAGAAAGAGCCUUGAAGAAAAGUUGGAAGAAGUAGAUAGCUCGCUUAGUGCAUAAUCCAGGCUUAGUGUGCACUCGUGCUUAGCGGGCAACCUCAAGCUUAGUGCGAAGAAAGCCCAAAACGAAGCUCAAAGGCGCGCUUAGUGUGAAAGCCCGCGCUAAGCACAAAGUCAGCAUGAAAAGUAAGCUACCUGGAGCCUAUAUAAGGAGGAAGAAGCUGAAGGGAAAAACACACCAAGUCUCAAAGGUUUCUAUUGAAGAUAUCCAAACCCUGAGCCUAUCCUUUAUGGGAAACCCUCCAUCUCUAGCCAUUCCUCUCUUUCUUGCUUUUAGUCAUUCAACCCCUUCUUCCAUCCACAUUAGCCCCUAAAGUGUAAAGUCUCUCAUGGCUAUGAGAGGCUAAACCUCCACUGUUGGGAGCCUAGCAAUCAAUGCCCUUGUAAUGCAACUAUUCUCAUUAUCUAUUAAUGUAAUUUUAGUUUCUAUUGUCUCUUUUCUGCUCUUCAUCUUUAUUGUGUGGUCUAGCCAUCCAUGCAUUAGUUUUUAGGGGUUAUACAUUGGGAAAUGGUAAUUUCUAAAGAACUAGAAAAGGGGAUCUAAACAAAUCAUUGUUAGGGAUAAAGUGACUUUGUUUUGCCUCUGCAUACAUCUCCAUGCUUAAUGUAAUUUACUAUUCAAUCUUUACAAAGGGAUUUGGGAGAGAGAAUAGAUAUAUUAGGCUCUUCAUUGUGAGGGAUCAGGGUUGAGUGUCUUAGUAGAUGUGGGUCGAAAUUGGGAAAACAUUUAAUAGAAAAAAACAUUAAUAUUGCAUCAAGGGUAGUUAGGCAUGCUAGGCCCCAACAUAUUUAAAUAUUGAAGUUAUCUCUUGCAUUAAUCUUGUUUAUUUUAUUAUUCUUGUCUUUUUAAUUUCAAAUUGUUUCCUUCUUCUUAUCUCUAUUAUAAUCUCUUGCUUGCAAAUUGGGUAUUCAUCAACGCAAGUACAAACAAAGUUCAUGUGGAUUCGACACUCGGUCUUCCGUUUAAACUUUACUACUUGUGAAAAAUUGGUACACUUGCCAACAAGUUUACACAAGUAAACUCAAACAACAAUCUAGAAAGCAUGAAAGUGAGGCAUCACAAGGUGUAAUAGGGUCAGACUGCAAUGUAAGGCAGGUAAAGAACAAAUAUGAUAACAAAAAGGCUCAUCAAUACCCCAACUUAGACUUAGUGACACAAACUGAGGAUACAAAAGCUUUAUCUAAUUAGCAAUAUCCCAAAAUCAUUUCCUUUUGAUCCCUUACUUCUUCUAUUUAUUUUCCUUAUGUGACUUUUUUUAAGAAGAAGAAGAAGAAAUUAAAAAAAAAAUCACAUUGGCAUAAAAAUAACAUAUGUACCGCAAUAAUACAAGUUGUGGGAUGGUUCAAAUAGUGCACAGUGAAAACCCCUCCCUACACUUAAGAGAUACAGUGUCCCUAAUGCAAAAAGCAUAAAACUAAAGCAUAACUUGAAAAUAGAGAAGGAACAAAGAAAACAAGAUUUAUUAAAAAUACAAAGAUUUUAAAUUUUCUAUGCCUACUAAUGCAAAAUAAAAAGGUAGAAAAAAAAGGAUAUGCCUAGCUCAAAGGCCAGUGCAUUCACAGGUUUCCUCCUAUAUAGCGCUUGUUUUUUGUCCCGAGCCUGAUGGUUGAAAGAGAGAUAAAUCAACCACCCUUGAAUAAGGUAAUGUCCUUUUCUCACAACAAUCCCUUAGCAAGGUCAUCCACUCUAUAGCUAAGUGCUUGAGUGGUGGUUCCAUCUCUAUCCCUCAUGCCACUUCAAAGGUUUUUUGGAAUGAUGUUUUCUUCCAAAGUGUUUUCCUUCCCACACUUGGCUGAUGCCUAGCCACAAUGACUUCCAUGUUUUUAGUGACUAGCACAAAAUUGCAGGAAAGUAAAGAGAAAGAUCUUUUUGCUUAAUCAAACACCUUAAACACUUCCUUCUCAUCACCUAGCCUCGAUGUCAAUUUCCCUUCUUGGACAUCAAUCAAGGCCCCUCCUAUGUUAACGAAAGGUCAUCCCAAAAUAAUUGGGAUUUCUUCAUCCUCCUCUAUAUCAAAAAUUACAAAGUCAGCUAGGAAAAUGAAUUUGUCAACCUUGACCAAUAAGUUUUGCAUUACCCGUUGUGGGUAAGUGAGGGUCCUAUCUACAAGUUGAAGAUAGACUUUAGUAGGUAGAAGUUCUUGCAACCCCAACUUCUUAAACACAAAAUAAGGCAUUAAAUUGAUACUAACACCUAAAUCACACAAUGUUUUAUCAAACAACAAGUUUCCUAUAGUAUAGGGAAUUGAAAAACUUCAUGGGUCCUUAAGCUUAGGAGUCAAUUUCUCUAAAACAACAACAUGACAUUCCUCAUUGAGACCAAUUAAUGCAAAGUCUUCCAAUUUCUUUUUGUUUUAAAUGAUUUCCUUUAAAAACUUGGAAUACUUUGGCAUUUCAGCAAUUGCCUUAGUGAAAGGAAUGUUAACAUGUAAUUUCUUAAACAUUUCAACAAACUUAGAAAGCCACUUAUCCUUCUGCUCAUUUCUCAUUCUCUAAGGAAAAGGAACACUUACCUGAGGAGGUGCCAAUACCCUUUUUUCACCCACUUUUUCUAUCUUGUGACUUUCUUCAGUGAGAGCCUCUUUUUCUAGUGUUGGAGUGGCUUUCUUUGUCUUCUUCGACUCUACCAUAGGCUUUCCGAUGCUGGUGCUCACUACAUUAAACUCCUCAUUCUUAGGAUUAACCUCUAUUUGAGAAGGAAGAGUCUUAGGAGCUCUUUGGGACAAAAGAUCUUUCAUGGUGGAGAGUUGAGUCUCCAUGAACUUCAUGUGCUCAUCAUUCUUGGCUAUAUAUUGGAUCAUAACAUCUUCCAAUGAUGGCCUUCUCUCUUCCUUCCUUGGCCUCUAAUUCUACAUAUGUGGUGGCAUAUACACAUUAUGAUUUUGCUCUGCCUAGGACCUUGGUUGAAUGUAUUAAAGUAAGGAUCAUAUCCUAUACUCUGUACACCAGCAUAGUUUACUUCCUCCAUGGCAUGUGCAAGUGCAUUACUCACUGGGCAUUCUCUUCCUCUAUGAGCCUCCCACACUUACCACAAGAGGGAGGUGAUAGUGUGGAAGCUAGAACCUAUGUCUGCACUCUCAUCAUAGUCUCCAUUUACUUGGUCGGCAUUUGGAGUUUUUGUUCAAUGCCUGAGCUGGAUGCUUCUACCUCCACUUGUUUCACCAAUCUCCUCACAAUCCUCUUAUCCCUAUAAUUUUUGUAGGGAUUAGAAGGCAUAUCUUCAAUGAUCUUGGUAGCUUCAACAUGAGAUUUCCUCCAUAAGCCGCAUCGACGCUUGUCCUAUUAUGAGAUGGCACUCCUCCAUAGAAAAUAUGUACAAAUUUUUGUGGGUUGAAACCAUGAUGUGGGCAACUCCGGAGCAACUCCCGAAACCUCUCAGAUGCUUGAGCCAAACUCUCCUGCUCCUUCGACACAAAAUUCUCAAUAUCUCUCUGUACUUAAUCAAUCUUAACUAUAAAGAAAUAUUUCUGAAGCAACUUAUUAGCGCAUUUCUCCUAAGUCGUGGUAUUGUGCUCGGGUAAAGCACAAAGGAAAUCCCAAGCUUUCCCAUUGAGUGAAACUGGAAAAACAUUCAAUCUCACAUACUUUCUAGGCACGUUUUGCACAUUGAUGGUGCUAGUCAACCUCAGGAAUCCUUUCAGGUGUGCCAUGAGUUUUUCAGAGGUUGCCCUAUGGAACUAAUUGCUUUCUAUCAUCAUCAAGAAACCAUAUCUCAUGUCAAAAUUGACUCUUGCCUCCAAAGUUGGCAACAAUAUGUUGUUAGCUACCCUCACUUGAGGAGCGAGAUAAUCUAACGGGGUCUACUCCACCUGCUCAUUGACAACAACCUCAUUCCCAUUACCUCAUCCAUUUCCAGCCAUGUCUCGUCUCCUCUGUUUAGCUCUAUUCUUGCAAGCAACUUUCUCGAUCUCAAGUUCGUGCAAGAGUUCAGGCCUCAGGGACUUAGUUAGCAUGCACUGAAAAUAAAAGAAAAGGAAUUAAACGCAAUUGAAAAUAGAAAAAAAUAAAAAUAACACAAAAUUAAAAAUUUUAGGAUUUAAAUAAUUGAAAUAAAGAUAAAUUAAAAUAGAAAAUUAAAGAAAAAUAAAAGCUAUAAACACUAUGAAUAGAAAUUUCUUGGUUCACACAAAAUGAAUUAUCCAAGAACUCUGCAAAUAGUCCCUGAUAAUGGCACUAGAAACUUGAUGCAUAAAAUAUGUUCACACUAGGGCAAGGGUAGCCUAUACAGUAGUUAGAAUGGACUUAAGUUCAGAUAUCGUACCCAAAGGACUAGUUGUGUUUCCAUAACUAUUCAAUUUGCAAUAAACUAAGCAUUUUCAAUUUUUUUUAUCAAAAGUUGAAAGACUUAUGUUCAAUUACUUUGUAGAAAACAAUACUCUAGAGUGAUCAAAGACAAUGCAAUGAAAUUAUCAAAUAAGAAGGCGUAGGGCUAUGACUAAAUCUCACAAUUGAAUCCCCUCAAUUCUACGUUAAUUGGCCACACACUUUUAACAAUCUUUCUCUUAAUUUAGUUCUAAUUUGGUCAAUUAAAAAGUAAAUUACGAGAAAACAUAAGUGUAUAGAGAAUGAAAAUAAAAAAUCCCUAAAAUAUGUUUGGUCAAUCAUUAUUCUAAAUGACUUAGUUGUUGUAUAAUUUUAUUAUUCAUACGAAGCUGAUCACAAAUGCACAAUAACUAGAAUAUAGAUUGAUCAAGUCUAAUGAGAAAUUAAGCAUGAUAGAACAAUAUAAUUGACUAAAUAAAAAUAAUUUUAAAUUAACUAAAACUGGGGUUCAUCUAUAGAUUACAUCAUAACCCUAGAAAAGAGGGGUUUAGUCGGCCAUAGGCACAGACAAGCAAAACAAUAACCUCAUAUACACGGGAAAGAUAAGGGAGUACGAAAAAUUACAAUUAGAAGCCCCCAUAAUCUUCCUCACAUUCUUCCCAAUCCAAAAGAGAUCCUACACUAUGCCUAGGUCACUCACAUAGUGAAUUUUCUUACACAACAUAAAAGAUAUCUACUUUCAUUUUCCCAUUUCUAUUUAUAGUACAAAAUUAGAGUGCCUGACAUGGAAGGGAGCACGAUCAUGCUGAAUAGAGGCACAACCAUUCUUGAAAAAUAGCAACUCUGAAAUCCCAAUUGCGGAAUUCGGAGAACAACCAUCUUAAAGGCGUUAUGGGGGUGUUCUAGAUGAACAUGACUGCUCUUGAAAAAUUUGACAUUGUUUCCCAAUUCUUGAAAAAUCAGAGCAUGGGUGUGCUAGAAGUACCAUGGUGUACUGGAAUGAUCACAUUCGUUCUCCCAAAGAGCAUGGCAGUGCUCUUCAUCAAAGUUUUUGCAAGUUUUCCUUGUUUUCAAGUUUUUCCCUAUUUGCAAUACACUUUAAAGAAUUCCAUGAGUUUUGCCAACAAGUUAAGUCAAAAACAUGCAAAAACAAGGCUAAACCUCAUAAAAUAUCUCACAAAUACUGGUUUAUUAGUCAUGCAUAUUUAUGCAAGACCAUGAUUUGAGAUGAGAACAACGCUUUAGAGGAAAUGAAGCAUGGUUGUGCUUCAUGUUGCAUGGUCGUGCAUUCCCUAAAGAGUGUGAAUCAAACUUAGGUGCCUUCAUAAGAAAUGCAAUCCUAGUAGCUAACCGAUAACUUUUGUCUCACCCAAAAAUAAGGUCCUUAGCUCAAGAUAUCAUAAUGUUUAUGAGCAAAUUUUGAGCUAUAAAAAUUACAUAGCUAUUUUAUGUUCCUUCUAAAUUUUAGUAUAGUAAAUUUUCAAACCAAUUUUUGAGGUCAACAUAUAAGUUGUAGUUAACUGUCUUAGCUUUCAAACUAGAUAAGAAUCAAAUUGAUAAAGUUAGUAUAAAUCUAGAAAUCGCCUUUUCAAUCUACAGUAGUCAUAGAUGUGUAACAGGAAAGGAGUGAGAUAACACUCAAAACUUAAGAAUUGUUAUUCUAAUUGGCUGUGAGUGUGACAUGUAUGUGAUAUGCAUGAGAUAAUUGAUUUGACUAUAUGUCAUUGUGAGAUGAAUGACUUAGUCUAUGAGAUUGAAAAAUUAGGCUUGGAUGGUAUCUAUAUAGUGAGUGACCUAAUUAAUCUAUGAGGGGCAAGGAUGCGCUCACUUCUGUGUGAUGGGACGUCUAAAGGGAUUAGUGUUGCAUCGGGAUGUGACAUGCAUCAUUUUCAUAGAGUCUCAAGUUGAUGUGAAAUAGAUAUGAGAUAGAUGGUGGAGGUUAUGACAACUUGAAUCUUAAGGGUUUUAGAGACCUAAUGUGGAAACCCCAUUAGCCCAUGUUAAGCCCAAAGGACUAAGGUCAAAAGUUGGGUAACCCUGCUAGUCAUUGAGUGGAUAUCAUUCUAGUGUAGUGCAAUAUAUAUUGAAGGCACUGACAUCAAUGAAGCAUCUUAUGGGUAGACAUAAAUGUACUAGAUUCAAGAGUUAGAGUUGGCACCACAUGACAUAUGGAAGUUCGGAUUACAUUGCACAUGGCAUGUAUACAAUUUUUAGUGAUUGCUGAUAAGCCUUUAUGUGAUUUUCAAUUGUUAAGGGAGUGUAUUUAUAUAUGUGUAAGAGUAUGCAUGCACUUGUGCUUUACCUAUUGUUAAUGUUAUACUAUAAGCAUGAUGUGAAAACAUAUUCUCACCCCUUGCUUUUGUUGUUCUUUGCUUGUAUGUGUUUAGGUUGAAUGUCAUUUGCAUGUAAUGUACUUCUGAAUAUUGAGUAGGAUGAUGGAGGAGCAACUUAUUUAUUUAUUUAUUUACAGUUGUUAUGUUUUCCUUUCAUAGGAUAGUAAGGUCUAACUAUUGUGACAUCAAGGAAUGGGAACUUCUAUAUUUUUAACUAAUUUUUUUAUAUUGCUUUCAUUUGAGAUGUAUGGCUUUUAAAGUGUCAAAUUUUAUAUAUUAAUUAAUGUUUUUGUUUAUGAAGCAUAUUAAAUUUGGAGUUAAAUUUGAGACAAUGAGAUAUGGACAUUGCUUCCAUAGACCACCUUAAUAGGUGGUCUAUUAUGGAUCAUUAAUGGUGGCCUUUAGAUUGAUCUAAUAUUCAUAGUGUUACGGUGUACCUCUGCAUAAUAGUACUACCUAUUUCUUUAUCCUCAACAACUACUACUUCCCUCUCAAGAGAAGUGCGAAAUGGGAUAUGAGAUUUGAGGGGUUUUAAUUUGUUUAAAUAUAUAAGAAGUGCAAAAUGAGAUUUGAGAUCUCUCAAACUCUUUUUAGAUUUGAGAUAUGAAACCCAUUUUUAUGUGAAGGUGCACUCAUAGGGGUGUGACACGCUGAAGGUGUGUUGCACGAAGGUCACAGUGAAGACAUUAAACUCGUUUCCAGAUUUAAAGAACGCGGAUGUACUCAAUCAGACAAGGUACCUCUCUUUUAAUUAAUUUGGUUAGGGUUUUCUUUAAUUAUCUUUCAAUACUCUGUUCAGCAAUGAGGUACCUCUCUUUCUCUUACUCUCUUGGCUCAUUCUCAAUUUCCACUCUAUACUUUUUUACAUUUUGUUCUGUAGAUUUAUUUGGUUUAGCUAUUGAAUUUUCUUCUUAUUUUUUUUCUAAACAAUUAGACAGGAUGAAUCUUGAGAACCAAUUACAUAUUCUACAAGAGAGAACUAAUAAAGAGGGUGUUAAUUCUAUAGUACAAAAAUUGGUUUUAUUAAUGAUGCCCUUGUAGGUGAAUUGUUUGUUUCAAUUUAUGUAAAAUUCUAUUUUACAUACUUGCAGUGUAGUGUAAUAUUUUUCAAUACUAAAAAUUUGGUUUGUUGUGGGUAUGCUUACUUGUGUGGUACUUUGGUCUUCUAUUUUUCAUUAUUCACCAAUUUUCAGUUAUCCAACUACCUUGGAUUCAGUGUUGUCUUGAAAUUAUCACUAUUAUACUCACAUUGCUACUUUCAUAGUUUAAUUUCAAAUUUGUGAUGGCAUGCUUAUGAUAAUAUAGAAUAUGAAUUUCAGGAGAAUAUUCUGUUGUGAUAAAGGAGAGUUGGAAACCUUCAGGAAUGAAGGGUGUGUUUAUAAUAAAAAAGAAUUCUAUUUUUUAUUUAUUUUUUAAAAUAUGGAAAAAGGAUAUUAAACAUGUUCUAGUUAUUGGUUAUUGCAACUAUUAUGCUCACAACACAGUAUUAUUUUUUUAGUAAAGAACCAAUAUAAUAACAAUGGUGUACAUACUUAACAACUUUUUUUCUUGUUCAUUUGUCCUUGGAAGUUCUUUUAUUGAUAAUUAGAUCUUUAUAGUGUGUUUGGAAAUCUCAUUGGCAUGUGAAAGUUGUAACUAUCAACUUCUAAACCCCAUCUGGGAUAUGGAACCAAAUCUCAUUUCGAUAACUAAAUUGCUUUUAACGCUCUCAUGUAUUCUGCAAUUAGUCACAAAAUGCACCAUCAAAACCAUGAACACAUUGAGAAAGAUGAGUGAUGGGUUCCAGUAUUGUGACUAAUUGCUUUUGAAUCGUAACUUAAGUUUGUAUGGCUACAUGAUUUGGUAUUUCUGAAAAAGAAGCAUAACUUAAUUUUUUGUGCUUCUAAUUAAAAUGUAUUCUUACUUAGGGACUUUUCACUACUACAAUCUACAACACAAACCCAUUUUCUUGUUUCUUUCUUGCAUUAGUGUCUAUCUACUAUAUAGAUGCCUUCAUUCUUGUUACAUAUUUGCAUUUGUAGCACUAGUAGAUAUAAAGUAGACGGAUACUUGUAUAAUUUUGUUGAUGAGCCUAAGAUACUGAUAACUGAAAAAUGGAACGAGGCUAUGAAUUAUCAACUUUAUGACUAAGAGGAGAACCACGUACUUCUAGGUAAUGAGCUGAAAGAGAUUUGUUAUUCAACUUUUGUCACUAUUACACCAGUUUUUGUUGAUUAUAAAUAUGCUAUGCUAUGACUUAAUAGCAAGCCACUUUAUUUUAUAUAUUGUCAUUUUAACUCUUCCCAAAAUUCCAGUAAAGACUAGUGACAUAUCCAAAAUUGUUUGUGUAAGCAUAUAUAUCAUACUUAAAAAUAUACUUUUAAUAGUUUUGUACACUUAUUAGUUUUUAUGCAUUGAAUAAAUAUUUUUUUAGAAGGUGUCGAGGUCUGUUUUGAAUUUAUAGGUUGGGUUCAUUGUGAAACAAAAUAAAUAUUAAAAAAUGCACUUAACUUCAUCCGUUGUGCCUGCAACCGAUGUAGAAAGUACCUUUACAACAUCAAUUUUGAGCAAAACCAAUGAUGUAAGAAGGUUCUUUAACAUCGAUUUUUGAACCGUCGUCAAAAGUUGUCCACUUUCAAUAAUGGUCAAUUCAACAUUGGUUCUAAACCAAUGUUAAAAUCCUCCAAAAUCGAUGUUGAAAGCUUUUUUUUAGUAGCGGAGGAAACAAAAAAAAGGAACUGUGAGAAAGGAUGGGAAAGAGAAAAUGUUUCAAUGUGGGAGAAUGUAUGAUAAUACUAUACAAAUUGAUGUAUAUAUAUAACGACUAUAAAGAGUGAUGCAUAAUGAACCACUUGACUAAGUGGUCUAUGCUAGAAUUUGCCAUGAGAUAUAUGUGAUUUCUUUUACCGCGAAGAGAAGUUCUCAAAGAAAAUUAACCUUAUUUAUUUUUCGCAACAUUUUUAUUUAUUAAUUAGCUAUGGGGUAAAAGGUGUCAUCAUUAAAAUCUUAAAAUGAUAUAAGAUGGCACUUGAAAAGAAAUAAAAAUAUUGUUAGGAGUUAAACACAACUCAAUCCAAAAGACUAGCAUAUUAGGUGGAAGAGCCUUAUAGUUUAAGGGUACCACAUCAAGUAUUUAUUAUUCUCAAUGUGGGACUACUAACACUCUCACACCCUUUAAGAGUCGAUAUUCACAACAGGUUUUACUCUAUUAACACUGACCGAUGGUAACCCUUUAUGCUUUGAUGACUUCACUCAAGUAUUAGUAUCAAUUUGGUACCUUAAUCUAAAUUAUAGAUAAUCCUUUUUGUAGUUUAAUUUUUAAUGAAAACAACAAUUAUUAAGACUUAAGUAAAUGAACAAAACCCAAUUCUGAUCCAUUGACUAGUUCAUUAUGUGACAAAGUCUCAUACAUGAUUUAUGUACCACAUCAAAUAAUUUAUUUUUCUCAACAGAAGACUCCAAACAUUAUCACCCAUGUUAAGACCCCUUUGAUCCCUCAAAUACUCCCAAUAGUACAAUACGAGAUAUAAUGGGUCCAUAAUGCGGGAGAUUACUAACUCCCAGGACUCUAAACAUACCCAUGUUUACCUUAAUCAGGUACACAUAAUUAAUUUUCAUACUUAAUUAUCACUUUUAAAAAUUCUAAAUUGAGUGUCAUUCUCUACCGAUACACUACAACCCUCUUUGUUGCACCACCAGACAGUAUAUAUUUGGAUUCACACAUGGGACCUCCAUUAUGAUCAAGAAUUAGCUAGCACCAUUAUUUAUCCCCAUGACACAUUCGAUACGCUCCAACGGUUGAUAAUCCUCUCGUCCGUAUAGAUUAUAAGUAAUAAAAAAAAUCUUGAUAAAAAAUCAGUAACAAAAAACCACCAAUUCUGCUUUCGUUAUAGAAGAAGAAGUCUACUUAAUUAAUUAAGGGAAGGACUUGUUUUUGGAUCAAAGAAAAUAGCCAGAAUGGAAAGCUGUCAUAUGUGGAACGGAACCAGAAUCUUGUGAAGGUAUAAUAUGUAUGUUAAAAUUCAAUUAAAUAGAGACUGCAUGGACUAUUACGUGGAGGCUGCAUGAUAUAUAUUAAUGUGGCCUCUCUUGUCCUGGUUCUCUCUAUUAUAUUACGUCCAUGGUAUUGGUUUUUUUAUUCAAUUCUCUUUAGCUAAGGGUGUAUUACAUGCCGGAAGGGGGUCUUAUAUAUAUUUUAGUUAUUCCACUGGUGCACCUCUUGCCGAUAUUAAGUUAAUUAUUCUUGGAUUCUUUUGCUACUCGGUUUUCAAUAAUUUUUUUUGUUAUAUAAAAAAGUUCUCGUAUAUAUAGAGAGAACCUUAUCUAACCUAGCUCAAUUUUUGCUACGAUGUCAAACUUAAAUUCAAUGUAAAAUUAAUUAAUAUCACGAAACACCAAGAUCACCGAAACUAUUAAGCCUCCGGAAUAUCUGCAUACCUGUGCAUGUGAAAGUUAUAUGGAGUCCAAAAUAGGAGAAGCAAACUAACUACACGAAUAUGCUCCCUUGUCAAAACGACAAAUGAAUAACAACAAAAUUAACCAAUCAAUCUGCUUUAUAUAGCGAAAGACCACACAAACCUAACAGCCUCGAAAUUUUUUCCUCUUUGGAUGCAAUUGGAAUGAUUAAUCUUAUCACAGAUAUUUGAUAUAUAUAGGUUGAGUACCCCAUUACUCUCUCUUAAUAAAUUCCUUUUCCUUAUAUAAAUAAAAAAAGAAGUAUAGUUAACGCCAAACAUAUAUUGUGGAUUAAUGAUGCGCGCACGAUAGUUAUGUAUCAUGAUGCUUAUGAAGUUGGUGGGUUAACAAUUGUUCCUACAUAUGACACCAAAUGUUCAGUACCAACCCAAAAGAUGGAAUUUUUUAUGUAACUCAAGUUGAUCUCACCUUGAACCUCUCAAACCUUCCACUCUGAACAGGGUGUGGAUAUUAGAUAUGAUCAUAUGAAAUGCAUGAAUGUUUACCUCUCUUCUUCCUUUCUAUCCUUUUAUAUAUACUCAAUGUUUCACUCCGUUAUUUAGUUGUGUAAUCCAUAUGUGUGCAUGCUAGGUAUACCUUCUGUAUCUCGAGAUUUGCAGGUUCUGUUACGAUUUUUCUCAAUCCUUCUUUGGGUAUUUUGCACCUUCUUAUUCUUAUUUAGACAUGUAAUUUAAUUAGACACGUAAUUCUCAAUCCUUCUUAUUCUUAUUUUAAAAAAAAGUUAAUUGAGAUGUGUUUAAAAUUUGUAAUAAUACUUAAAAAACGCUUUAAUAUUAGAGAUGUAACUCAUGUAAGUAUGUUUUAAAAGUUUAAUUCCUUAAAAUAAAAGUUUACUAAAUUAUGAUCAAACCAUCGAUCUAAAAUAAAAAAUUCAAUUGUUUAAAUUUUAUGAUGUAUGUAUAACAUUUUAGUUUAAUUUUCACAUAUUGUAAUGUUAAUGUAAAAAUUUAUAUUAUCAAUUAAUAAAAACCAUGUUAAAUAUCACUUUUAAAUUAAUUAUUAAAAAGUGAAUAGUCUUAUAAUACAUAAUAAUGACACAUUUUUUUGUAUAGUAAUUAUCUUUUUGGUACGGGUGAUACGGCACAUUUAGUUUAGUUUCUAAUUAAAUUCAUACUAUUUGUUUUCUCUGAGAAAGUAUUUGACACGACACAGCCGUUUGCAUUUCUCUUUAGUUGAACUUAAAUACCACAGUCAAUGUUGAAAGUUCUCGACAUGAUAGUUUGAUGUUACGUAUUAACCCUGGCCGACACUAUGGUUAGGCAAAAGGAGGGGAAAUUAAUUAAUAUAUUAAAUUGGACUACAUACUACUUUUUAAAAAAGAAAAAAAAAAUUGCCCUCCCCACAUGGAGAAACUCUUCAUUUUCACAAACUAAAUAGAUAAUUAUCUAACAACUCCUAGUGUCAGAAAGUUUAUGACUAUGCAAGUAUAAAGAAGGUUCAUUCAGCGUUAUGCUUGUAUAUGUAAAGAGGUUAUUUUUCCAUUUAAACUAUGAUCAACCAAACCAAAUUGCAACUUUACAAUUAUCUUUGUGGCAGGGCUCACUCUCAUCACGAACUAAAUAGAUAAAAUAUAUUAAAAAAGUCAUACAUACUUUUUUAUGAAAUAAAUAAAAUAUUAUCUACCUCUUUUACGUCAAAGUAUUAUUUACAUUAUAUAUAUAUAUAUAUAUAUAUUUCCUUUUUACCGAUUAACAUCCAAAUCUUUCUUCCUUUGAGGUUUAAAUCUAACAUUUCAUGCAAACUAUCCAAAAUUUUCACUAUUAGACUGAUUUUAGUGCCAUGUCAGAAUUAAUUUCUAGUCAAAUUAAAUUAAUGAGGGAAUGGGUUUAAAUUUUAAACACCAAAUGGUAACGAAGGAUAUAUAUACACUAGAAAGCCACUAAUUCUAAAGCAUCUUUACAUCACCUUUACGAAUUAGGAUUACCUUCAUCACGGGCUGAAUAUAACCCGAUUUCCACUUGUCACUACAUGUCAAAAAUGUCCUCUUACACAGCAUUGCUUUUUUCUUAUUCCCCUUGUCCAUGAAAAAUUGAAAUCGUAGUUUUGGCCCUCUUUUUUCACAAUUUUUUUUGUCACUGUGAUCGACUUUGUCCGUGAAUCCAAGCUGAACGAGAGAAGCUCAUUCACUCUGCCACACCGUGGGCCCCACCUAUAUAUCCUGAACGAUUUUUCGGUCCUUGAAGUCAAUGAUUCAUCGCAAAAAAUGAAUAAUUUAAUUCCAAUUGUUAGGAGUUAGAUUUAGAUUUAGAUUGAUUGAUUGAUUGCCACAACUCUUGUCCGUGAUCAUUAAGACUCACGAGAAAGAAAGAGAAAAAAACUAGGGUUGGAUCAUGAUAUAAAGGCCCCUCAUUGUAUCUUCACUACUCAAACAUAUAUUCCCCCUUUCCCUAGUUUAGCUACUUACCUCAAUCUUUCUCAUGGGAAAGUUUGCCCUAGCCAAUAUCCUCUUGGUCCUUCUCUUGAACUUGAGCACUUUGCUCAAUGUUCUUGCUUGUCCCUAUUGCCCUUACCCUUCUCCCAAGCCUCCAAAAAAGCCUCCCGUUGUGAAACCACCGGUUCACAAACCACCAAAACCAUGUCCACCACCCAAGUCAUCUCCAAAACCACCCCAUGUACACCCUCCCUAUGUUCCAAAACCUCCUCACUACCCUAAACCACCAGUUCAUCCACAUCCACCCCAUGUCCCAAAACCUCAUCCAAAGCCUCCAGUGCAUCCCCAUCCACCUUAUGUCCCAAAACCACCAGUUGUGCCAGUUACACCACCAUAUGUUCCAAAACCACCAAUUGUGAACCCUCCCUAUGUCCCAAAACCGCCUGUUGUGCCAGUUACACCACCUUAUAUCCCUAAACCACCAGUUGUGACACCACCAUAUGUCCCUAAACCACCAGUGGUGCCAGUUACACCACCAUAUGUCCCUAAACCACCAGUGGUGCCAGUUACACCACCUUAUGUGCCAAAACCACCCAUUGUGAAACCACCAAUUGUUUAUCCACCAGUUGUGCCAAAACCACCAAUUGUUACACCACCUUAUGUGCCAAAACCACCCAUUGUGAAACCACCAAUUGUUUAUCCACCAGUUGUGCCAAAACCACCAAUUGUUACACCACCUUAUGUGCCAAAACCACCCAUUGUGAAACCACCAAUUGUUUAUCCACCAGUUGUGCCAACACCACCUAUUGUGUAUCCACCUGUUGUACCAACUCCAC